CUAUCCCUGCUGCGUACGUGAUAGCCGUGUAGUUUUUGCCAACACAAAAACUAUGGGAGUCCGUACUUCGUAUCUGACUUGCAUGCCCAUCUGCUGGGACACAAACAGGACACGAGAGGACACCCACCUGCAUUGCAGGUUAAAACUUGCGGCGCCACGGCUCAGUGGGGUUUUU
rnacentral:other from 1 species